rnacentral:rRNA from 1 species
UGUACGCGAAGAACCUUACCUGGGCUUGACAUGUAAUGAACAACAUGUGAAAGCAUGCGACUCUUCGGAGGCGUUACACAGGUGCUGCAUGGCCGUCGUCAGCUCGUGUCGUGAGAUGUUUGGUUAAGUCCAGCAACGAGCGCAACCCCUGUUGCCAGUUACCAGCACGUGAAGGUGGGGACUCUGGCGAGACUGCCCAGAUCAACUGGGAGGAAGGUGGGGACGACGUCAGGUCAGUAUGGCCCUUAUGCCCAGGGCUGCACACGUACUACAAUGCCCAGUACAGAGGGGGCCGAAGCCGCGAGGCGGAGGAAAUCCUAAAAACUGGGCCCAGUUCGGACUGUAGGCUGCAACCCGCCUACACGAAGCCGGAAUCGCUAGUGAUGGCGCAUCAGCUACGGCGCCGUGAAUACGUUCCCGGGUCUUGUUCACUCCG